UAUUUUAAGAGUUUGAUCCUAGCUCAGGAUGAACGCUGGCGGUGUGGAUAAGGCAUGCAAGUCAAACGGCUCGCAAGAGCAGUGGCGAACGAGGUAGUAACACGUGGGCACAUCCCUUUUAGUCAGGAAUAACUAGUCGAAAGAUUGGGUAAUACUUGAUAGUCUCUUCGGAGUAAAGCGCUGUUUUAUUACAGUUGCGCUAAAAGAAUGGCCUGCGGAGUAUCAGCUAGUUGGUAGGGUAAUGGCCUACCAAGGCAAUGACGCUUAGGGGGAGUGAGAGCUUGGCCCCCACCGAUGGUACUGAGAUAAAAUUUGUCUCCUUGAGAAGUGAUUCUCAAGUAAAAUCCAACUCAUAACGGUGGAACCUUCAGAGGACAUGAUAUAAUACAUGUAUAUGAAGGCAAUACCGUGGGAAGUCGAUGAAAAAAAGUUUUCUGACGCGUAUAUCGCAGGUUUCUUUGAUGGAGACGGUUCUUUGGUAGCAAUACUGACGAAACAGUCUCCACAAUACCAGCGUUUAUAUCGUCCUCGCAUUCGGAUUAAUUUCACUCAACAUAUUCGACAUAUCGAUAUGUUAGAGAAAAUGCAAAAAUAUCUUAAUGCGGGAAAAGUGCGGGUUUCUGUGGCGCACGAUCAAGCGGAGUUAGUAAUUGUAGACCGCAAAGACGUACGCCGCAUUCUCAAUAAAAUGCUUCCGCAUCUUAUUUUGAAAAAGAAACAAGCAAGUAUCGCUCUUGAGAUAUUAUCUCAAUUUGGCGAUAACCUCCGGACAAAUCGAAUUUCAGACGAAAAUUAUUCCUCAAUCCUUAAAAAGAUUGAAGAAAUACGAUCUCUAAAUUCGAAAACUGGCGGAAAAAGAAAAUUUUUAUCAUUUGACCCCGUAACGACUUCUCGUACAAUUUUAUAAAUUGACGCGAGAGAGUUUGUGCCGGUUAGAAGACCUAUGUACAAGCUAACAUGUUGGCUCCUCUCUAAAUUUACAAGUUUAGUCGAGGAUGAAGGUAUAGUCUGAUACCCCGAGUGAUCGGGGAAAACACUAUGACGGACCAUACACCUACGGGUGGCCGCAGUCGAGAAUCUUCCACAAUGGACGAAAGUCUGAUGGAGCGACACCGCGUGAUGGAUGAAGACCCUCUGGGUCGUAAACAUCUUUUAUGAGGGAGAAAGUUUAUUGAUAGUACCUCACGAAUAAGGGGUUGCUAAACUCGUGAAAUGUGGAUUAAGCUCCACUUCCAAUUUAGUAGCAUUAAAAAUUCGUAAUUACUGUGCGCGACUUAGAAUCGUAAGGUUCUAAGCAAAUUCGGCUUAUAUGCUGG
rnacentral:ncRNA from 1 species